rnacentral:rRNA from 1 species
ACACAUGCAAGUCGAACGAGAGAGAGGGAGCUUGCUUCCUUGAUCGAGUGGCGAACGGGUGAGUAACGCGUGAGGAACCUGCCUCAAAGAGGGGGACAACAGUUGGAAACGACUGCUAAUACCGCAUAAGCCCACGACCCGGCAUCGGGAAGAGGGAAAAGGAGCAAUCCGCUUUGAGAUGGCCUCGCGUCCGAUUAGCUAGUUGGUGAGGUAACGGCCCACCAAGGCGACGAUCGGUAGCCGGACUGAGAGGUUGAACGGCCACAUUGGGACUGAGACACGGCCCAGACUCCUACGGGAGGCAGCAGUGGGGAAUAUUGCACAAUGGGGGAAACCCUGAUGCAGCGACGCCGCGUGGAGGAAGAAGGUCUUCGGAUUGUAAACUCCUGUUGUUGAGGAAGAUAAUGACGGUACUCAACAAGGAAGUGACGGCUAACUACGUGCCAGCAGCCGCGGUAAAACGUAGGUCACAAGCGUUGUCCGGAAUUACUGGGUGUAAAGGGAGCGCAGGCGGGCGAUCAAGUUGGAAGUGAAAUCCAUGGGCUCAACCCAUGAACUGCUUUCAAAACUGGUCGUCUUGAGUAGUGCAGAGGUAGGCGGAAUUCCCGGUGUAGCGGUGGAAUGCGUAGAUAUCGGGAGGAACACCAGUGGCGAAGGCGGCCUACUGGGCACCAACUGACGCUGAGGCUCGAAAGUGUGGGUAGCAAACAGGAUUAGAUACCCUGG